rnacentral:lncRNA from 1 species
UUAAGCUUUGGUCAUACCAAGUUUUUUUAAGAUUUGUCAACUCUUUCUAUCCUAUUAGGUCCGAGACCACAAUUGUCGUCCCUUGUUUUUCGUUGUUCACGAAUAUAGUCCCUAGUGUUGACAGUGGGUUACCCGGUACUUGCCAUUAAUUUUUAUACCCCUUCCAAAUUUAUUUCUCCAUGUUUAUUAGGGCCCCGCCUUUAGACGGGUACUCUAUAGUGAUCAGUCUGUCUGUCCGUCCAUCCGUCCAUCCGUCCGUCCGUCCGUAACACUUUUGUGUCCGCUCCAUAUCUAGAGAACCAUUAUGAUUUCAUACUUUAUACUUUACAUGUUUAUUAACCACCAC